UACGGGGGGGGCGAGCGUUGUUCGGAAUUACUGGGCGUAAAGGGUGCGUAGGCGGCUAUUCAAGUCGAACGUGAAAUCUCGGAGCUCAACUCCGAAACUGCGUUCGAUACUGGGUAGCUAGAGUCUGGUAGGGGGAUCUGGAAUUCCUGGUGUAGCGGUGGAAUGCGCAGAUAUCAGGAGGAACACCGGUGGCGAAGGCGGGAUCCUGGGCCAGUACUGACGCUGAGGAGCGAAAGCGUGGGGAGCGAACAGG
rnacentral:rRNA from 1 species